GUGACGUUCAUUUGUGACAUGAAUGAAGGCAAAGACACCGACUGGGAAUAUGAGAUUAAAAAAAAUGGAGAACAAUUUCUUCGCUCCAACCCGCACAAAAGCUUCACAUUACAACCUAUCCAAAUCGAUCACAGUGAUGAAUACCAGUGUUGUGGACUCAGGAAGAGCUCCGGUGAUACCAAGUGCAGUGAUACUGUCUCUUUAACUGUUACUGCUCAACCCAAAGCCACACUGACUGCAGGUCCUACAACCAUACCAGUAGGGGGCAGUGUGACACUGAGCUGCUAUCUGCCCUCUGCUGGUGGAUGGAAAUACAAAUGGUUCAGAAAGACCAAAAACACACCUGAAGUUCAACUCACUGAUGAAGAAAACAGAGAUAUUAAUGUAGCACAAGGAGGAAUAUACCGAUGUCUGGGAAUGAGAGGAAAUGAAAACUAUCAAAGUCUUGUAAGUGACGAAGUCACAUCACAAUAAGCUUUUCCAAUGAGGUCGUUGUGACUCGACAACCAAACUGGCCUCAGAUGUUCAGUGGUGAGUCGAUCACUCUGACAUGUGAGGUCCAGGGAGGAG